CGCAGAGUCUGUAGGUGAUUGGUACUUCGACCGAUCCAACAAUGUUAAAGACAUUGACUGUCCUUACCCAUGCGACAAAACAUGUCACCAUCUGAUUUUCCAAUGAGUAAAUCUUUGUGUUACCUGAUAAUCUAUUAAAAUAAGCUUUAUGCAGUGUUGAUCAAACAGCUUACUUCAAAGAUUUGAUCUCCUCUCCUUAGUGCUUCUUUGGUCCCUCUAGUGUUUGACAAAACUCUUACCUCAGAUUCUCUAGCUUAGUAGGUAUAGAGUCAGAAACCUUAUUCUUUUCAUACCUCUUUAAGUUAUUUAUAACCAUUUGCUUCAAAAUCUCGAAUCUAAAGUUAGUGACAAAAUCCAUGUCAUUACAAAGAAUAGAAUAUCAAAAUGAAAAUGAAUAAAAGGUAAAGAACAUAUUCCUUUAUUCAUUGGACUCUAUUACAAAACGUCCGAAUCUCAAAAACAGAUCAUGAGCUCUGCUUUUCAUGUCAAAAGUCUAAACCUUUGUUCUGUUCUGUGAGGUCUUCCUAUUGUACAUAGCACUUUAUCUUUCACCUUUGUGUACCACAGUGAAUCGCACGUUAGGGUUACACGUUGCUAUUUCCAUCAUCCAUGUAACAACUGCUGAUUAAGCUCGUAAAUCUCAUAAAAACCCAUUAAAAACAUCAAAAACCCUAAAAGUUAAGCAAUUACUUGAACCAAAAGCAAGAGGACAAAAGUGAAAAAAAAAAAAAAACCUAAAAAAGAGGGGAAAGAUAUAUUAAGAAGCUAAUUAGCUUGACGUGACGAAGAAGCUAACGCUACAGCUUGUGCCCACACCUUGAGUCUCGCCUUAACCUCCUUCGGGUCAUCACCGGGGCUCGAGAUGCGCCACGUGGCGAUCGGAGAGUUGCUGCCACUACUAGUCUGAGUAUCGAAAUUCGACCCGGCUGACACAGAGAUCCGACCCGGAACCUCUAAGUCGAACCCGAGAUCUCUACAAGCUUUCACUUCCUCUAGCCCCAUCCUCAGCGACUUCUCUCCUCCUUUAGCUCUCGUUAACACCGUUAACCCCAAUCCACCACCGCCGUCACUCUCUCCGUCAGCGCCGUUAAAGCCGUGACCUUUCUUCUUCUUCUCCCUGAGCACCCUCCUCUGCCUCCGUGAGCUACUACUCUUACCGCCGUCUCUGCUACUCUCGUUCGCGUCUAUAUCUCCGGUGACUGUGUUUUUUCUUCUCCGGCGAGGUGGAGUCGCCGGGAGGGAGUAAAACCGUGGCGUCUCUUUGUCGGAGUCAGACUCUCGAACGUUCUCUUUUCCUCCUCCACCGCCGUCUUCGGAGACUUCUCCGUCGGCUUCUGCUCCGUCGAAGCUCUCGACAACGCCCAAGUCAGGAUGAUUCUUGGUGGCGUCGUCGUAAACGGAGGAUGUGCAAACAGAGAGUCGAGACAGAGAGGUACGGAUCUGGUGGAAUCCAGCGUCUUCUUCGACGACUGGAAAUGAAGACAUCAUCAUCAAGCUCUCGUCCAAUGCCAUGAGAGGGAUGAAGAAGAAGAAGAAGAAGUUAAAGAGGAAAGUGAAGAGAUUGCCGUUUAUUAUAGUUAUGAUGAAACUAACUCUCUCACACUCUCUUUUUAUGGAAAACGAUUUGGUAGAACUCAUCAGUCGCCUCGUGUUUAGGUUCACUUUUGAAUUUAUGCAGUGUGCUUAGAUGGGACGUUACCUGGCUACCAUCUAGAUCGUGGGUUUGGUUCAGGUGCUAACAGUUGGCUUAUCCAUCUUGAGGUAUCUGACACCUUUGACAUCUCUCUCAUGUAAUCUUGGACCAUUUGCUAUAGUUUAGUAAACAAUGCAAUUUUCUGUUUAUUUAAGUACUUGACUUGACUUGACUUAGAAGUUAGAAGCUGAAUAUCACUUAUUAAUUAGGGUGGAGGAUGGUGUAACAAUCGUAGUAGCUGUGUGUUUCGAAAAACAACUCGGCGUGGCUCCUCUAAGUUCAUGGAGAAAGCUUUGAACUUCACUGGGAUAUUGAGCAAUAAACCUCAAGAGAAUCCUGGUUUGUCCCCAAUAUCAUCAUCAUGAGUUUUGUCAUGUCAUGUGAUUAUAAAUGCACUAUUAUUAUCUUAAUUCUGUUUAUCUGUAGACUUCUUUAACUGGAACAGAAUCAAGUUGCGCUACUGUGAUGGUGCUUCUUUCUCUGGGGAUAGUCAGGACGAGGUUAGUUAUACUUUGUUUCAUAUUUUGUCUUUAUAAUUCGUUACAACGACCUUCUAUUCAUAGGAUUCACAAAUUUUCUAUCGAGGAAAACGAAUCUGGCAAGCGGCGGUGGAAGAGUUCAUGUCUUUAGGGAUGCAGAAAGCAGAACAGGUCUUUAUAUUUUGAUUUUGCUCUGCUUUUAUGUUCUGUUUCUCUUCUUAUCCAAUCUUAUCACUUUGCAAGUGUACAGGCUCUGCUUUCUGGUUGUUCAGCCGGAGGGUUAGCUUCAACCCUGCACUGUGAUGACUUCAGGGAACGAUUACCUCUUUCUACAAAAGUAAAGUGCUUAAGUGAUGCUGGAAUGUUCCUGGACGCGUAAGUAAAUCUCUUCAACUUUUGCCUUUUCUGUUUAGGAGAAAUAUUAUUUUCUAUCGAACUUAAAAUGUUUGAUGGGAAAUGCAGAGUGGAUGUCUCUGGGGGACACUCGCUAAGGAACAUGUUCCAAGGUGUUGUUACAGUCCAGGUACUAUCAGAUUUUAUAUACAACUUAAACAUUAUUAUAUGCUUAUUGUAGCUCACUUAAUACUUCUAAUUUAUAGAACCUCCAAAAGGACUUGUCCAGUGCAUGUACAAACCAUUUGGAUCCUACUUCGGUACAUACCUUUCACUUUAUUAAUAUCAAUGUUUGAUCAAAUCCUUUAACGUUAUUCUUUGUGCCGUUUCUCUUCAGUGCUUCUUUCCACAGAACUUGGUUUCAGACAUCAAAACUCCUAUGUUUCUUCUCAACGCAGCUUAUGACUCAUGGCAGGUAAAUAAUCAUGCGUCUUUCUUGUAUCUAGCUCUUAAUCUAAUCCGACAAUGUUUCCUCAGGUUAGACAGAGCUUAGCUCCUUCACCUGCUGAUCCAAGAGGCGUCUGGAAGCAUUGCAAAUCAGAUAUCUCGCGCUGUAAUUCAUCACAGCUUCAAUUCUUACAAGGUGCAAAGUUUAAACUCAAAGUUUAUUAGUAAUUUCACUGUCGCACUCUCUACACACUGAUGUUUUCUAUGUCCUUACACAAAAUAGAAUUCAGGAAAGAAAUGGUGCUUGCAUUAAACUCAUUCUCAGCAUCUCCUCAGAACGGUGUUUUCAUAAACUCUUGCUUCACUCAUUGUCAGUCUGAGAUACAGGACACUUGGUUUGCUCAAGACUCUCCCAAGCUAAACGGAAAAGUAAGACUUCCCUCCAUGCGAUUUAUAUCUCAUUUUAGCAAUGACAUCAAGUUUGUUAAACUCUGCUCAUGACAUGAUUGUCUUUUUUGGUUUGGCAGAGAGUCGCAGAGUCUGUAGGUGAUUGGUACUUCGACCGAUCCAACAAUGUUAAAGACAUUGACUGUCCUUACCCAUGCGACAAAACAUGUCACCAUCUGAUUUUCCAAUGAGUAAAUCUUUGUGUUACCUGAUAAUCUAUUAAAAUAAGCUUUAUGCAGUGUUGAUCAAACAGCUUACUUCAAAGAUUUGAUCUCCUCUCCUUAGUGCUUCUUUGGUCCCUCUAGUGUUUGACAAAACUCUUACCUCAGAUUCUCUAGCUUAGUAGGUAUAGAGUCAGAAACCUUAUUCUUUUCAUACCUCUUUAAGUUAUUUAUAACCAUUUGCUUCAAAAUCUCGAAUCUAAAGUUAGUGACAAAAUCCAUGUCAUUACAAAGAAUAGAAUAUCAAAAUGAAAAUGAAUAAAAGGUAAAGAACAUAUUCCUUUAUUCAUUGGACUCUAUUACAAAACGUCCGAAUCUCAAAAACAGAUCAUGAGCUCUGCUUUUCAUGUCAAAAGUCUAAACCUUUGUUCUGUUCUGUGAGGUCUUCCUAUUGUACAUAGCACUUUAUCUUUCACCUUUGUGUACCACAGUGAAUCGCACGUUAGGGUUACACGUUGCUAUUUCCAUCAUCCAUGUAACAACUGCUGAUUAAGCUCGUAAAUCUCAUAAAAACCCAUUAAAAACAUCAAAAACCCUAAAAGUUAAGCAAUUACUUGAACCAAAAGCAAGAGGACAAAAGUGAAAAAAAAAAAAAAACCUAAAAAAGAGGGGAAAGAUAUAUUAAGAAGCUAAUUAGCUUGACGUGACGAAGAAGCUAACGCUACAGCUUGUGCCCACACCUUGAGUCUCGCCUUAACCUCCUUCGGGUCAUCACCGGGGCUCGAGAUGCGCCACGUGGCGAUCGGAGAGUUGCUGCCACUACUAGUCUGAGUAUCGAAAUUCGACCCGGCUGACACAGAGAUCCGACCCGGAACCUCUAAGUCGAACCCGAGAUCUCUACAAGCUUUCACUUCCUCUAGCCCCAUCCUCAGCGACUUCUCUCCUCCUUUAGCUCUCGUUAACACCGUUAACCCCAAUCCACCACCGCCGUCACUCUCUCCGUCAGCGCCGUUAAAGCCGUGACCUUUCUUCUUCUUCUCCCUGAGCACCCUCCUCUGCCUCCGUGAGCUACUACUCUUACCGCCGUCUCUGCUACUCUCGUUCGCGUCUAUAUCUCCGGUGACUGUGUUUUUUCUUCUCCGGUGAGUAAAUCUUUGUGUUACCUGAUAAUCUAUUAAAAUAAGCUUUAUGCAGUGUUGAUCAAACAGCUUACUUCAAAGAUUUGAUCUCCUCUCCUUAGUGCUUCUUUGGUCCCUCUAGUGUUUGACAAAACUCUUACCUCAGAUUCUCUAGCUUAGUAGGUAUAGAGUCAGAAACCUUAUUCUUUUCAUACCUCUUUAAGUUAUUUAUA
rnacentral:lncRNA from 1 species